rnacentral:rRNA from 1 species
CCUACGGGAGGCAGCAGUAGGGAAUAUUGCUCAAUGGGGGAAACCCUGAAGCAGCAACGCCGCGUGGAGGAUGAAGGUAUUCGGAUUGUAAACUCCUUUUGGUAGAGAAGAAAAUGACGGUAUCUAACGAAUAAGCACCGUCUAACUCCGUGCCAGCAGCCGCGGUAAUACGGGGGGUGCAAGCGUUAUCCGGAUUUAUGGGGUUUAAAGGGGGCGUAGGCGGUUUGUUAAGUCAGCGGGCAAAGCCCGGGGCUCAACCCCGGCCCGCCGUUGAAACUGGCAGCCUCGAGUUGGAGAGAAGUAUGCGGAAUGCGCGGUGUAGCGGUGAAAUGCAUAGAUAUCGCGCAGAACUCCGAUUGCGAAGGCAGCAUGCCGGCUCCACACUGACGCUGAGGCACGAAAGCGUGGGUAUCGAACAGGAUUAGAUACCCGUGUAGUC